GCGGACGAAGAGAAGCUUUCGUGGUGUGUAUAACACGCUCAAAACGCAUACAAGAUAUGCAGACAUCGUUCGCAGUAGACCCACACUAACAGAUAGCAGACGUGAUCGUGAACCAAGCAAAAUACCAAUACGAAUUUGAAAAGGUUUAGGAACAAGAGCAUUAAAGUAACACUCAAGGGAACAGCUCUGCAAAUGAUCUUUUACAAAUAAUGAAUAUUGGAAAUCAACUUUAUUCAAGUUUGUUACGAUUAGCCAGACAGGCAUAUUUAAUGCAGUCAGAAUUACCAAUAGCUUUAUAUGUGUUUGAUACUGAUUAUCAACUGCAAUACAGUGAAAGUUACUCUAGUACUGUUCACCAAGAAAUUGUUAUAGAGGGAUGUCGGUAUUGUACGUCUUUACCAAGAGCCUUUGAGUCGUUCAUGUCUGAAAGCUGCACCAAUUUCAUAUUAACAAUAGGGUGCAUUGCUGUUGCAACAUAUUGUAAUAGUAAUAUGGGGUUCAAAAUAUUUGAUUCUCUUGCUAGAGAUUUGUAUGGUAGAGGGUAGCCUCAAGGUACAUGUGUUCUUCUCGAUGUACUGUCUCCUGAUAGUUUAGUGCAUUAUUUUCAGAGUAUACAUAACAAUGAUAUAUUUGAAGUGAGAGGAAUACAAAUUUAGAAUAUUCAAAAUAGGAUGGUUUCUCAAAACAGUGUGAAUGAAACCAUAAACUUGAAUCUAAGUUGUGCUGUAGCUCUAUACUCUCUUUGCUACCCUAUGAUGAAAUCAUUUAAUUAGUGAAAUUACAACUCAUCCUUACCCACCAUUGUUGACAAAGGCAAAAAGAUGUGUCAUAAAUCAAGUUUAGAACAUAACCAGCUACCACCAGCUAAUCUUCUAAGAACCGUAGAAGUUUGUGGAACUGAAGUAAAUUUGGAUAAUCUGUUUGAGAGUGAGGGAUUAUUAACUGAUUCACUUCAAAGCAAGUCAACUGAAUCAUAAUAAUAUAUAAUAAUUAAUGCACAGGCGUUUUGAUAUACUGCAUCAUACUGCAGCUUCAUACUGCAUCAGUUGUAUCCUUAAACCCACAAAAAGAUCCAAAUCCAUGCCAUUAGAAAAAUACAAGAGAAAUAUAAUACUCCAGGGGAAUACAGAAUACUGUUUGCUACAUGUUCAUGUAAAGUAGUUGACAGAAAGGAGAAAAAACAAUUUAGGAAUAUGAAAAAUAAACAGGAAAUACAGAAAAAAAAUGUCCCAAAAAUACAAAACAAUGGAUACUGUUAAGAAACAAGACCUGCUAAAGAAAAUGGCACGACAAUACAAAAGUAUGGAUUUUGAUGAGAAAAAAGAGUUGUUAAAGAAGAAAGCAAAAGAAUACAAAACAAUGGACGCUGCUAUAAAACAAGAAGUACUUAAGAGACGCAAACAAAAAUGUGUUCGUAAGAACAAAACUGUAGAUUCAUGUAUUGAAGAGUUCCACAGAAAAAUAAAGGAAGGCCCAUAAUUUA